rnacentral:rRNA from 1 species
UACGAAGGGGGCUAGCGUUGUUCGGAAUCACUGGGCGUAAAGGGCGCGUAGGCGGCUUUUCAAGUCGGGGGUGAAAGCCUGUGGCUCAACCACAGAAUUGCCUUCGAUACUGUUAGGCUUGAGACCGGAAGAGGUGAGUGGAACUGCGAGUGUAGAGGUGAAAUUCGUAGAUAUUCGGAAGAACACCAGUGGCGAAGGCGGCUCACUGGCCCGGUACUGACGCUGAGGUGCGAAAGCGUGGGGAGCAAACAGG